UACGUAGGGUGCGAGCGUUAAUCGGAAUUACUGGGCGUAAAGCGUGCGCAGGCGGUCUGUUAAGACAGAUGUGAAAUCCCCGGGCUUAACCUGGGAACUGCAUUUGUGACUGGCAGGCUAGAGUAUGGCAGAGGGGGUAGAAUUCCACGUGUAGCAGUGAAAUGCGUAGAGAUGUGGAGGAAUACCGAUGGCGAAGGCAGCCCCCUGGGCCAAUACUGACGCUCAUGCACGAAAGCGUGGGGAGCAAACAGG
rnacentral:rRNA from 1 species